rnacentral:rRNA from 1 species
CCUACGGGAGGCAGCAGUCGGGAAUAUUGCGCAAUGGAGGAAACUCUGACGCAGUGACGCCGCGUAUAGGAAGAAGGUUUUCGGAUUGUUAACUAUCGUCGUUAGGGAAGAUAAAAGACUGUACCUAAGGAGGAAGCCCCGGCCAACUAUGUGCCAGGAGCCGCGGUAAUACAUAGGGGGCAAGCGUUAUCCGGAAUUACUGGGUGUAAAGGGUGCGUAGACGGAAGAACAAGUUGGUUGUGAAAUCCCACGGCUCAACUGAGGAACUGCAACCAAAACUAUUCUCCUUGAGUGUCGGAGAGGAAAGUGGAAUGCGUAGUGUAGCGGUGAAAUGCGUAGAUAUUAGGAGGAACACCAGUGGCGAAGGCAGUCUGCUGGACAGCAACUGACGCUGAGGCGCGAAAGCGUGGGGAGCAAACAGGAUUAGAUACCCUAGUAGUC